rnacentral:rRNA from 1 species
UACAGAGGUGGCAAGCGUUGUUCGGAAUUACUGGGCGUAAAGGGCGCGUAGGCGGUCCGAUAAGUCCCGUGUGAAAGCCCCCGGCUCAACUGGGGAACUGCACGGGAAACUGACGGACUUGAGUUCGGGAGAGGGAAGCGGAAUUCCGGGUGUAGCGGUGAAAUGCGUAGAUAUCCGGAGGAACACCGGUGGCGAAGGCGGCUUCCUGGACCGACACUGACGCUGAGGCGCGAAAGCUAGGGGAGCAAACGGGAUUAGAAACCCCCGUAGUCC